AUGACCCCAGGUCAGACGGGCC
rnacentral:rRNA from 1 species